AAUUGUUUCCAUUCAAACUAAUCAUGCGAGAAACAUUACUGGCCUCUAUGUUCAAAUACAAAAUUUAAAUCACCAAAACCCCUUGCUCUGAUACCAGUUGAUGGGGAUAUAAAUAGAAAUAACCUUUGUAUAUGAAUAAAUACUAGAAGACCAUAAUAUGCAGCGGAAUUAAAUGGAAGCACAAUCAAACAGAACACCAAGAUAUACAUGGAAAACCCCUCCAAUGUGAAGGGUAAAAACCACGGG
rnacentral:lncRNA from 1 species